UACGUAGGGUGCGAGCGUUGUCCGGAAUUACUGGGCGUAAAGAGCUCGUAGGUGGUUUGUCGCGUUGUUCGUGAAAUCCCACGGCUUAACUGUGGGCGUGCGGGCGAUACGGGCAGACUGGAGUACUGCAGGGGAGACUGGAAUUCCUGGUGUAGCGGUGGAAUGCGCAGAUAUCAGGAGGAACACCGGUGGCGAAGGCGGGUCUCUGGGCAGUAACUGACGCUGAGGAGCGAAAGCGUGGGGAGCGAACAGG
rnacentral:rRNA from 1 species